ACCUAAAUUCCUUAACCCUAACAAAUCAGAGAAUGCGGCGCACCCCCCACUGUUCAUCUUCUUCUUCAAUGAUUCAGCCCCCAACUCGUCUGAAACUCAGGCGAGUUCACUCAAAUGGGACUCUUCCUCUCCAUGUCAUUUUAUUCUAACGGUCUUUUGUCAGAAAGAACGAAUAUUCUCUCUAAAUUUGCACGAUUUCUGUACUAUUGAGCGAUUUGCUGGAUGAAUAGGAGCCGUGGAUGGAUGAAAAUCGAUCCAUGCCUUCCAUUUGUCCCUAAAAUGGUUCACAAACAAGGGAAUUUUUCGGAUCCGAGGCAGAAGCUUCGAGAAUUUUUGAGGUUAUAUAUAAGAAAUCGGAGAUUUAUUUUCCUUUUUGGGUCUUUUGCAGAUUAACCAGGUACAUUUGAUCCAAUAUCUUACAAUUUUUUUAUUUAAAUAAUACCAAUUUGUUCAUGUUC